rnacentral:rRNA from 1 species
AUGGAUGCCUCGGGACACUUAUCCGCAUCACUGGAACCCCCAGAAAAGUGCUGCUUUAGCCUUCUCACUCCACCAUGGACUAUCUUGCCACACAAUGUACACUGGAGUAAAUCUUUCCUCUCUAAAUCUGGCCAGAACCCAUACUUCCAGGCUGGAUCAUCUGAUGUAGCUCUUCUCCUAGGAUCAUUGGCUAGAUCCAUGAGAGCAGGUACACCUGGCUACUGUCAAAGAAAAAGAGAGAAGAGCCAAAUCACUAGAGCAGCCAGAUCAAGCAUGGGGAAGGAGAGAAGCAGUGGUGGGGCUGCUGCCUUGUGGGUGGAGAAGCAGAUCUGGGAAGAAACAGAUGCAGAUGAGGAGCGGGCAAGCACAUCUAGCUACACUGCUGUGCAUAAGAGAGGCAGCACCUAA